rnacentral:rRNA from 1 species
GACGAACGCUGGCGGCGUGCUUAACACAUGCAAGUCGAACGGUGAAGCGCCUUCCUUUUUGGUGGGUGUGGAUGAGUGGCGAACGGGUGAGUAACACGUGAGUAACCUGCCCCCUUCUUCUGGAUAACCGCAUGAAAGUGUGGCUAAUACGGGAUAUUCUGGGUCUGUCGCAUGAUGGGUCUGGGAAAGAUAUUGUUUCGGUGGGGGAUGGGCUCGCGGCCUAUCAGCUUGUUGGUGGGGUGAUGGCCUACCAAGGCGGUGACGGGUAGCCGGCCUGAGAGGGUGGACGGUCACACUGGGAGUGAGGCACGGCCCAGACUCAUACGGGAGGCAGCAGUGGGGAAUAUUGCACAAUGGGCGCAAGCCUGAUGCAGCGACGCCGCGUGAGGGAUGGAGGCCUUCGGGUUGUGAACCUCUUUCGCCAGUGAAGCAGGCCUGCCUCGUUUGUGGGUGGGUUGACGGUAGCUGGAAAAGAAGCGCCGGCUAACUACGUG